rnacentral:lncRNA from 1 species
UAUUUUUUACACAUUUUGGAGCUUUAAAUUCUAUAAUCAAAGGGAACUUCAAAUUCUGUAAUGAAAGGGAAAAAUAAACUUUGAAGCUGUUAGAAGGAUUUUUGGCAUUAGAAUUGCAUUCAAGAUGGUAUUUUAAAGUGCCGCUUUACCAAAUAUCGGUCAAGUUUGUAUAUAAUGAGAACAUUUAUCUUAUUUUACAAAAAGGUCACAAUUACUUCUAGCCAUUAGAUAUCGAAUUGGAUGACUUGCGGUGUGUUACAGAAGUCGAUAAAUUUUUUUUUAACUAUGAUUGUAGUCAAUGACUCACUCAUAACCAAUAAGGACAAAAAAGAUUGUGACCUCUCGUGUUAAAAAUAAAUGGUCUAUUUGUAGUAUACAUUUCAAUAUGAUAAAUCACCAUCUAUACCCAAAAAAAAAAAAUGCACCCUUCAAUUGCCCGACUAAUUAGGCUUUUCUUUUCUUGUUUUAUGGCGUACUGCACGCAUUUUCGUGAGGGAAUUUAUUAUUACAUCUUUCAAAUUUCAGGUGCCAAAUCUUCUUGAAAUUCAACGGUUACAUCAUUUUCAUCUGUUUUUGGUACACUGAAUUUUCAAUCAUGGAGUUAGGCCUAAUUUAGUACAUGGUAUGACAUAUGGGGGUUUUCCCCCAAGUUUUCAGCUAUUCCAUAAAAUUUGUGGUUGUUUUGGUGAUAGAUUUCCUCUUUCAAUUUGACCAUGAGGGCACUCUAAGUCCCACGGCAUGAACACAGAAGGGAUUGUAUAUUUUUUGGCAUAAGGUCAUUGUCACUUUUAGCUA